GGAAAGAUACCGGAGUGGUCGAUCGGGACGGUCUCGAAAACCGUUGUACCCUUACGGGUACCGAGGGUUCGAUCCCCUCUCUUUCCG
rnacentral:tRNA from 1 species